AACUUCUGGAUGCUGGUGGUUGGUUGCUUCAGAGAUGUCAAUGCAGUGUUUCAAGGGAGGCAGAGUUGGAGGGUCAUCUGAAGGACAUCUCUGUCCGAGAAGGUUUGAGAUGGUGCAGUACUGUGUGGUGCCACAGAAAAGUUGUCAUAUCUGGAUGGCAGAGGAAUUUUACUGCCAUGUCAUCUACAGAUGUGCUUUUUGUGGAAGAAGCUGAUGUGCUAAAGAAACCACUAGAUACCUAGAUGCAGAGGCUGUUCUGGUCAGUCACAUACUCAGUCUCCCACGCAAGCAUCCAGCAAGGAGCAGCCAUCAUUGCCCUUCUGUAGCUGUCUGAAGCUUUUCCAGUUGCUGCCUUGCUCGCAGAGCAACGAUGUUUAGGACCAUGCAAAACUAUAACUCCACCCAAACUGUUUCUCUGUGCUGAUUCUGAAGAUUAAGUGUCCCAUCUGCUAAAUAUAUGUACCUAAAAUUACGUCUGCUAAAUAUAUGCACCUAAAAUUGACCUUAUUUUACUUUCUGUUCUUCUCUCUUCAGUUCCAGUUACGGAUGAUGUUAUGACUUUCCUGAGGGAUUAAAAAACUCUUCUACUUCAGGUUAUUUGCUUCCUAUAUUGGCACUCAGACAUCAUGAUCAAUUCACUUUACAUACUAUCUCGUAUUUUACCAGUUUAUUAUUCCUGAAAUGCGCUUGAUGAAGAGAACUGCCAAUAUAGAGUGUCUAUUUGCAGAAUGGAUUGACGAACCUUUUAAUGGUUCCUAGAGUCUGUCUCCGUUGCCUGAUGGCAGAAUUUAUUUCCUUAUCUUUCAAAUAACCCUUGUAGGUGCAUAUUGCACUCUGCAGCAUCCCAGAGCUUUAGAUUCAUGUGGGAGUGAAUUCUAGAAGAUCAUCUCCUUUUUUUAAUUUUUCUUUUAAGCAGA